rnacentral:lncRNA from 7 species
UUGUGUUGUUGUUGUGCUAUCAAUGCUCUUUGUGGAGUUUUUGGCAUUUCUUCGAUGAAAUGUGCCGCGUAGAAUGUUAUGGGCUUCUUGUCUGCUUUAUUGCUCCAUUAGUUCUGUAGAGUUUCUCCCUUUUGUGGGGUGCAAAGAAUGUUAGAUUACAUGAUUAUCUUUUCAUGAUGGCAAGAACGGGGUUUAGGAAGAUUAGGAGUUUUGUUUCAAUAGAACUACUUGUUUUGUGGUGCUGUGAGGUGAGGUGUUUGAUCUUUUUAUACGUUCAUCUGGUGUGGAUGUUUUACCAUUGAAUUAAAAUAAAUUGUUGAAGUUGGUAAGAGUUGUGCUUAGUGCAUAUUACUCCUUCAUAAAAGAGUGUCGUUUUAAGACAUUGAUGCUGAUGUAUGGCUGCAUCCAAAUUCGAUGUUGUGAAAUCGUAGUGUUGAUCGCAUCUAUGACUUGCUUUGAGCUUCAUUGCAGGUUGUUUCAUGCUUGUUGUUAGGUUGUGUAGCUUCCUUAGACCAUUAGUCCGAGGUAGAAGUUCUUGUGUUGAUUAAUACCAAUAAUGGACCCAUGUUUUCAAUGGUGGUGCUAUUUGGGGUACCUUGGAUGUUUUGCUUGGAGUGGUCGAAUUCGAGGACGAAUUCUUUUUAAGGGGGGUAGAAUGUAACACCCUAAAAAAAUAAACCAUUUUUAUAAUCCAAAUAUGGUGUGUCCUAUGGAUGAUCGGAGGCCGUAGAUGUAUAGAUCUCAUCAAGAUGAUUCUGAUCAAUCACUAGUUUGCCUUGUUUGAAGUCCAGAUGAGUCUUUUCGAGUGCCGGUUGAUCUGAGCCAUUGGAUAUUAGGAUUGUGGAAGUUUCCUUCUAUUUAUACCUCCCUAACCCUAGAAUCCACGUCCUCCCACCCCUAGCAGCCGUCACCCUUUCGUGCCUUGCCCCAAGAGAUGAGAUGAAGAAAAAAGAAGAGAAGAGAGGGGAGAUGAGGGCAUACCGUCACUCAUCAUCGUCGUUCCUCUCCAAGAAUUGGUUGGAUUUCCUUUCCUCUCUCUCUUUUCUCCACUUGAUGAAGGCUUUCUCUUGUUUUGGAUGAGUUUUAGGCCCUGCAAUUAGUUUUUUUGGUUGGAUUAGAUGGGAGAUUAGAUUUUGAUCUCGAAAUUAGUUUCUGCAGGAUGGCAGAUUCAACAGUUUCUGUUCAUGCCAGUUUUCCGUGAUCUUAGUGGCCUCAAAAAAAUAAAACGUCUGUCUAUGAGUCGUAGAUAAUUUGUAUAUCUUUCCGUGGCCGCGAAGAACACCUCAAUCGGACAUCAGAUCAGAAAGUUAUUGCAGUUUGAUUAUAGCAGUUUUUCAGUCUCAUAAUUCUGUGCAGAAUCUGUUCUCUUAAGAUUUAGGCAAUUUUAUCUACAGAAUUAAACUUUAGGAUUGUAAAAGAAGUUGUAGACAAUUUUAUAAGCUUUCCAGAUUGUUAAAGAGCGCAUUCAUAUGAAUUAUGAAACUCCAGUUAUAUUUGUUUUACUGUGGCUGUUCCUGUUUGCCUGACAAAAAUGAGCGAGUCUGUUCACUGGUGGGUUUCAUAUAGUAAAUAGCCGAAUUGGCUGUUCCAACUAUGGAGACAUUUGUAGAGGGAUAAAAGUUCUUACUGCCAGCAGAAUUGCAUAAUUUUUGGUUGAGUAGUUUGGUAGAUAUUGAAUUUUGAAGUUAACUAUGCUGCUGUCUGAAACAGAUUCAGACAUUUAUCUUAUCAGAUGUUUUAGAACUUAUAGAUGGCAGAAUUUAAUUAUCCAUUGAAUACUGAAGUUGUAGAGUAUUUUGUAUAUACACUCCUAGAGUAUUUGUUUAAUAUCACCACUGUUAUAAUUUUAAAGAUACAAAAUUAACAAACAGUGCUGCUGCUGUUUGACAUGUGGUUCAGGGUGGGAGUCUUUCCACCGGGUCUUGGUUUCAAGUGUAGGAGCGAUUUGUUGAUUGUUGGCAAAUGUUUGUGAAAUAUUUGUACUAAAUUUUAUGCCCGCUAGCAGGUGGCUACACUCCGGAUCAUGCCUAGUACAUCUUUCUUCCUCGAUGAAGGCAAGUGAAUGUAGCAGUGGUUUCUACCGUUUUGACUUGUUGUUUUUUUAUCGCCUACACUCUAAUAUUCAGAAUUAUGGAAUUCUUUCAUAAUUGAACUCUAUGGUGAUGCUUUACUUGAUUGUAUUAUACUGAUGCUCAAUCAUAUAUUGAUGAUGAUUAUGGUUCGAGUAUGACCCAUGAGAUUAAUUUACACCCGUGAAGGCAGAUAAAGUAUUAUUUGAGGUUUGUAUCGUAUCUGAAGACAGAUGAAGUAUUAUUUGAGGUUUGUUUUGUAUCUGAAGGAAGUGAAGUGUAUUUAUAAAUGCAGCAUGCCAUAUGCAUUACAUGAUUCAUUUGCAUCUGAAGUUUGGUCGUGACCUAUGGUCCGACCGUACCGGUACAACUUAGCAUCGUACGUUGCCCGAGGAGGGGUACGAUGCGGCUUCAUACCCUUAGAGGUAUGAAGGCAGAGGACAUAUGCAUUGCAUUUAUAUGCAUUCAUUAAAGUGAUAUUAGCAGAUGAUGUGGUUUUAUACUCUCAGAGGUAUGAGGGCAGAUGACCUACACAUUGCAUUCCUAUGCAUAUAUUGAAGUGAUAUCUGCAGGUAUUGUUGACGCAGGGAAGGGUUAUACAACCUAUUGUGGUUGUUCGAGGAAAUGAGAUGGUAUUGGUUAUAUUGGGACUAUUGAGUUCUGUAUCUACAAGUAUUUCUGAUCUCAACUGUGAUUCCUUUAAAAUGUUGUUUAAUUCAAUUUGUGGUUUAAAUAUCUCGUCAAAACAAUUUGCUUGCUGAGAUGUAUCAUCUCACUCUUGCAUUACUCAAUGCAGGUACUUGAUUCAUGUUGGGAAUGAGGGAAGUAGCAGCACGUUCACCUUCACUAUUAUAAUAACGAUGCCCAGUUGCAGCCAUGAUUUAAUUAGAAACUCGAUGACAAAUGAUGUUUGUUUUUUCCUAGUCGUGUGCACUGGUUAAUUCAGUUCAUGUCGUUAUGUUUAACUUUCCUUUGCUAGCAGAUUAAUAAUGCUUAGUAUGUUUUUUU